CAGGUAUGCAUGUGCUUCAGAAGGUGCUCAUUUGAUUGAUGUGUAGCAGAUUUCUUUGUUAUUAUAGAUUCAGAAUUUUCUCAGGUUCGUGCUUCAAAAGCUGUUCAUAUCCUCACUGAGGCAAGGCUUUGUUCAGGUAUAUGCUUUUCUUGACUUUUUCUCUUGUAAAUUGGUAUUUGUACAUUAGAAAAAUUUAUAAAGUAAGUUAAGUGAUAUAUACGUAUACUAAAGAAAUUAGAAAUGAAUAUCUAAGCUCCAUUUCUUAACUGAAAUUUUAUUUUAACCUGACUUGUCAACACUUCUUUCAUUGGUAUAGCGUCCGUGAGAAUCUAAAAAUUGAUUGCUAAUAUAUACAUUGAUGAACAGGUAGAUUUUAUUUUGAUAUGUUGGAACAUUACAUUGUGUGUUUACAGUGUUUGUAAUCUCUAUUGCAUGUAUUGUAAGGUCUCUAAGUUUGCGAAAACAAUGUAUCUUGGAGUCUCUUGUAGAUCAAAGUAGGUGAUAGAUUCCUGCAUAUUGUGGUGGUAGUUUCCUUAAAUUUCGAGUGUUUCUGUUUUGUGUUAUACUCCUAGCCUUCAAUAAUCAUUCUAAACAGCGUAUACAUUAUAAGGUCUUUUGUUUUAUGAGAUGAAUGUAUCUUAGAGUAUCUUGUAGAUCAACAUAUGUGAAAGACUGCAGAUUGUAGUAUUAAUUAAUUUCUUUGAAUAUGGAUUUUUCUGUUUUGGAGUUUCCCUCUUAACCCUCGAUGAUCACUGUAUACUAUACAUUGACUCGCAUGGUCAUAGGAGAGCUAUGCCUAAAUCUAAACCAAUAGUUCAGAGAAACAGAAAAACUAAAGUUAAAGAACAAAACUGGCCUGAACACCUAGUCUUCAACCUCAACGGAUUCUUUAGGAAAGAUCAGCAGGCAUCUCGCAGAUUCGAGUACCGUAGUACCGCCCCAUGUCCCAAAGAGUCUUCAUGUCACAACUUUCACAAAGUUAAUCGCAACACCUUCCCGCCCAAACUGACCAGCUCGUCCAAUGCGAUGAAUGUAAAGCCCAGGAUCAAGAAAAGAGAGAAGGUGAUCAUACUGUCUGAACAUCGAUCCCUUGUGCUCACACAUCUGAAGCAAUCAAAACACGGCUUUUAAAAGACCGGAACUGGUUCAUGAUUUCGGCUAUCUCCUUUUGACGUUUGUCUCCAUGCAUUGAUGACACUAUGAAGUUACUAGUCCUCAUCUUCUCAGUAAGCCAAUCCACCUUUUAAAAUCCAGUCCAAAGCUUUAACACUCUGACCUAUAAGAUAUAGGGAGACCCAGAGAGCUUAAGAACACGAGUACCUUUUGUCUUGUGUUGCAGAAGAUAAUAGCUUGAUUGAUA